UACGGAGGGUGCAAGCGUUAUCCGGAAUCAUUGGGUUUAAAGGGUCCGCAGGCGGGAAUAUAAGUCAGUGGUGAAAUCUCUCGGCUUAACCGAGAAACUGCCAUUGAUACUGUUUUUCUUGAAUUUGGUCGGAGUGGGCGGAAUGUGUCAUGUAGCGGUGAAAUGCAUAGAUAUGACACAGAACACCGAUAGCGAAGGCAGCUCACUAGACCUGAAUUGACGCUCAUGGACGAAAGCGUGGGGAGCGAACAGG
rnacentral:rRNA from 1 species